rnacentral:rRNA from 1 species
AUAUCAGUCAUGCAUAGCAUAUCAAUAAGCGGAGGAAAAGAAACUAACAAGGAUUCCCUUAGUAACGGCGAGUGAAGCGGGAAGAGCUCAAAUUUGAAAUCUUCAAGGUUUUACCUUGACGAAUUGUAGUUUAAAGAAGUGUUUUCUGUUGAAGUUUUGGUAAAAGUUCUUUGGAAUAGGACAUCAUAGAGGGUGAGAAUCCCGUAUUUGACCAUUACUUUCAGCUUUGUGAUACACUUUCAAAGAGUCGGAUUGUUUGGGAAUGCAGUCCAAAAUGGGUGGUAAAUUUCAUCUAAAGCUAAAUAUUGGCGAGAGACCGAUAGCGAACAAGUACCGUGAGGGAGAGAUGAAAAGAACUUUGAAAAGAGAGUUAAACAGUACGUGAAAUUGUCAAAAGGGAAGCGUUUGACACCAGUGUUGUUUUCUCGAAAAUCAAUUAAAAGAGUUGGAUUUUGUGUUGUAUUGACUUUAUCAGCUUUCUUCACUCUUUUCCAGCUUUUUUUAAUGCACUUUUCGUUAACAAGUCAACAUCAGUUUCUUUUGUUGUAAAAAGGUCAUUGGAAGGUGGCUUUCUCUUCGGAGAAAGUGUUUAUAGCCUUUGACUCAUGCAAUCGGAGAGACUGAGGUCUGCAGCGUAGAUCCUUCGGGGUUAGAUACAUUUGUGCUAAGUUAUAGCUUUUCAUAGACAACUUGUUGACUAUGUUUAGUCUUGUAGCUUACUCGCUUAUGCUAUUUUACCUACGCUUAGGAUGUUGAACUCUAUCACACACAG